rnacentral:sRNA from 1 species
UAUUGAGGCGUUCUUAGCUCUUAGGAGCUC